GGCUUCUGUCGUGAGUGACACACGUGGGGCAGCUCGUUUGUUCUUCGUGCGGAAUCGACAUCAAGAGAUUUCGGAAGCAUAAUUUUUUGGUUACCGGGCAGCUAGUGAUCGUUGGUCCUGGCGCCCCUCCUUUACCAGGUUAGAAAAACAGAGUAUUAAUGUGUUUCAGUAGUUACAUGUAACGGAUUGAUUUAUGAACAAAUCAACAACCCAUCUCGCUUUUCUCGUAAACAAACAGGGAACGGGUUGGAGCCCUGGUGCGCGAAGAUAUCGCAUGCCAUAGAGCUAGUAAGUCGGUGCGCCAAAACUAAUGAGCCCGCUUGGCACUACUAUCGGAGCGCAUGCAUCUAGAGCCUGUGGGCUGCAACAAGAAAGGGCACCGCAAUGACAAGCCCGCGCACAGGAACGAAGAGUAGCCCCCGCUCUUCACACCUAGAGAAAACCCGCGCGCAGCAACGGAGACCCAAAGCAAACAAAAAUAAAUAAAUAAAUAAAUAAUUUAUUAAAAAAGAAAAA